rnacentral:tRNA from 1 species
UACAUUAUAGUUUAUGAUGAACCUAAGUUUUUGAUACUUAUAGAUCAGUUUAAUUCUGUUAAUGUAA